UACGUAGGGGGCAAGCGUUGUCCGGAUUUAUUGGGCGUAAAGAGCGUGUAGGCGGCCUGAAAGGUCAGCUGUGAAAACUCGAGGCUCAACCUCGAGACGUCGGUUGAAACCAUCUGGCUAGAGUCCGGAAGAGGAGAGUGGAAUUCCCGGUGUAGCGGUGAAAUGCGUUGAUAUCAGGAGGAACACCCAUGGCGAAGGCAGCUGACUGGGCAUUAUCUGACGCUGAGGCGCGAAAGCGUGGGUAGCAAACAGG
rnacentral:rRNA from 1 species